GUCAGCAUUUAAUGGGCAGGAAAUGACGCCCCACAGAAGGAGCGAUUCAGGAGAGGGAGGAGAACAGAAGCCAGGGGAGGCGUUUCCAGAGGAGGAUGUGGCCAGGGCCUCGGGUGCUGCUGAGAAAGAGGUCAAGUGUCUUGAGAUUGAACAAGGUCUGCUGGGUUUGGGAACAUGCAGGGUGUGACUUUAGGAUGCUUUGGUGACGCUGUGGGCCAGACCCCAGAACAGCCUGGGCUGAAGACGAGGAGGAGGUGGAGGGCGGAUGGACUCUCCCUGGAGGACCGGUGUGGAGACAUCCAGGGUUGGGGCAGGAUUUUUAGCUUGUGGGUGGACCCGUUGGGGAGAGAGGGAAAACUCGCUGAAAACAGGAAGGAAAAGGCCCCGAGGACAGGGGCGCAGCCUGGCCUGUUGCAGGAGGGGAAGGUGAGGCAGGACACAGGUGCGGGAAGCUCUGCCCACCUUGCAGGUGGUCGAGGACCCCCACGGAGAGUAGAGCAGCCAGGCGUCUGCAUUGGGGGGAGGACGUUGGAAGUGUGGGAUGAUGGAGAGCUGACACCAGGUUGCAGAAAGUGAGAGGAAGGAGCUCUCUAUGAAGCCCAGGACGGCGUCCGACUUCUGGCUCAAGUGAUCCACCUGCUUCAGGCCUCCUGAGUGACAGGUGGGCCCUGGUGCGCUCCUCUCUCUCUCUCUCUCUCUCUCUCUCUCUCUCUCUCUCUCGGUACCAGGGAUUGAACUCAGGAGUACUCCACCACUGAGCCACAUCCCCAGCCCUCUUUUGUAUUUUAUUUAGAUACAGGGUCUCACUGAGUUGCUUAGCACCUCACUUUUGCUGAGGCUGCCUUUGAACUCUCAAUCCUCCUGCCUCAGCCUCCUGAGAUGCUGGGAUUUCAGGCCUGCACCACCACACCUGGUGAUCUCAUUCUUAUUACUAAUUUGCAUUGGGUUGGGAACUGAC
rnacentral:lncRNA from 1 species